GAUGAACGCUGGCGGCGUGCCUAAUACAUGCAAGUCGAGCGAACAGAUAAGGAGCUUGCUCCUUUGACGUUAGCGGCGGACGGGUGAGUAACACGUGGGUAACCUACCUAUAAGACUGGGAUAACUUCGGGAAACCGGAGCUAAUACCGGAUAAUAUUUCGAACCGCAUGGUUCGAUAGUGAAAGAUGGUUUUGCUAUCACUUAUAGAUGGACCCGCGCCGUAUUAGCUAGUUGGUAAGGUAACGGCUUACCAAGGCGACGAUACGUAGCCGACCUGAGAGGGUGAUCGGCCACACUGGAACUGAGACACGGUCCAGACUCCUACGGGAGGCAGCAGUAGGUAAUCUUCCGCAAUGGGCGAAAGCCUGACGGAGCAACGCCGCGUGAGUGAUGAAGGUCUUCGGAUCGUAAAACUCUGUUAUUAGGGAAGAACAUACGUGUAAGUAACUGUGCACGUCUUGACGGUACCUAAUCAGAAAGCCACGGCUAACUACGUG
rnacentral:rRNA from 1 species